CAGUGUUGACUGUUUUGAAAAUCUCUUAGUUCUUGGACAGCAGUAUUAGAAAAGUGUAAGAAAAUCUUCAAAACCUGGAGGUAUGCCUGUUGAACUUUUGUACCGAUAGCACCUUUACCAGAGGCUGCAUGUUUAAAGCCCGAAGAAAACUUUGCUUUUCUGAAAGAAUA
ensembl:misc_RNA